AUGCCAUUUGAUGUAGAAGGUAAAAUUGGGUUUGAAGCUGUACUGUUUUUGUUCAUUGUACUAACUUUGUUCUCAAACAAUCUUUUCAUCCCCAUCUCCUCCCUAAUCUUCAUAAUGUCCUCAUUCCCGGUUGUUUCCGCAGUUGAAAACUGCUCAUUACUAAAAUGUGUUGAAGAGAAUCUAUUGCUUGACAUUGUAUUAAGCAUCUCUGAGUUCAGGAACAUGAGGUCAGAGGAACUCACGUUGCUCCAUCUGUUCUUAAACUCAAAGUCAGAUACAACAAUUUUGUGUUUGUGCUUGUGCAGGAUUUUCUGA
rnacentral:lncRNA from 1 species